AUUCCUGUCUAACAUUGUUGUCUCCUGCAUAAGUGUAGAUGGCUCUCCUUGGAGUAGCCUGUUAACUAAGCCUUGCUUUGUGGUUACCUUCACCUGUCCAAUUAAUCUGCUAGGUGCAGAUGUCCUUCCCCCACUUGCAGGCCCCUAUCACCUUAUUAUUUAUUUUGUUCCACACAGUGAAACCUGACCAAGAGGCAAGGGUCCUAGCUAGUUCCCCCAAUACCUUUACCUGAAUUAUACAGGCCCCAAAGCCUGUCCAAGCUCUUACUAUUCCCUAACAGGUUAAGGCUCUGGUGUCGAAUGUUGCCCUGGUUACCUGAGACUUUCCAUGCAAUAUCCCACCUCUCCUUGUGAUGGACGAAUUCUGUGCAGGAUAAUGUCACCCUGCAGGGAUGAUACUCUAUUUACCUGGCCACUCUUCUGCCACUUCCCAGGGGGGAAAUGAUAAGACACUGACUAUUAUUUUUUUUUAGCCUUUUUCUUAUGAUCUGUUCCGGAUUUGCUGUCACUACAGUGGACCAAGUAUCUCACCUCAACAAUGUCUGCACAAGAAGCUGAGCUAUAGGCUCCCAUCACACCAUGCAAGAUCUCUGAAGGAAGACUGAACUCAGAGGAAGCAUGUGGCAGCUCUCUGGCUGACCAAGUUGUUCAAGAAGUUGUAAGUGCACUAAGGGAAGUGGACAGAAAAGUGUCUGCUGAAGAAACUCCCAUAUUCACCAGGUAAGAUCCUACCCACAGACAUCAAGCUCCCGAAGGAAUAACGAGCAAGCUACUGACCCUGGAAAGAAAGAAAAAACAAACAAACCACAAGCUGGAAACAGAAAGGGGCAACUCUUAAAGACAGGCUGUACUUCAACAAUCUCAAGUUCUACUUGCCCAAGAACAUAUACUCAGCAGUGGUCCAGUGGGCCUACGGAGCAUCUGUCCAGAACCCUCAUGAACUCUUUUGAUCAAUAAAUACUCUGAAGUAUCAGGAAUUGCCUCUCUGACCAACAGUUACUGUAAAUCUUGUGCCAUUUGUGCCAAGGGCAACUCAGGAAGAAUGGAGGAAAGCCCCAAGCAUCUAGCCAAACCUCAUUAUCUCUUCCAGAGGAGUCAAGUCGCCAGAAUGCCAAAGAAUGGCUGAUUCAAAUAUGCACUAAUUAUAGCAGACAUGUUUUCAGGAUGGCCAGAGGCCUAUCCAGCCACCAAAGUGAUAACCAAGACCACAUGCUGAGUAGUGCACCGUGAAAGUUACAGAGAUCACCCCGUGGAUUCAUCAUUCCAGAAUCAAGCCUGCCUCUGCAUCAUGUGAAGUAACAUUUGUUGAUCUUGACAACCCUUUUUGAAACUCCAUUCUUAGAGAACAAAGAUACUUGUUGAAAAUAAAUAAAUAUCAACAAGUGGGUGUUUUGAUGGCCAUAAUAAUGCCUGACCACCUGCCAUCGAUGGAAAGCCGAAUACCCCAAAAGGGGACCUCGUGAAACUAAAGAGAAACAAACAUACUCCUUACCCUGCAGCCCUCAUGUCUGAGGUGCCAUACGCACAGUCAAAGCUUUUUCAGGAUCAUCUGCUUAUCUUGAGUUUGUGGUGAUAUUAAUAUUGAAUGUUUAAAUGAUCUGAAUCUGCCAGUACUAGGGUAGCAUGAGACAAGAUUUCUAAGAAUAAGUAAAUGUGCCCUAGCCUAGGUUAUUAUGUCCAUACACAUAACACAUGACAAUCCCCAAGGUACUCUUGACACACCUCAUUCAUGCUUCAGGACAAAAAGGAGUACCCCUAUAAAGGGUGGUUUUACCCACACAUAUAUAUAUAUAUAUAUAUAUUAAUGCCAUAGGGGUGUCAAGGGGGGUACCAAAUAAUUUUAAGGUAAGAAACUAAGUUUGAAUCUAUUCUCCCAAGCAUUACGGCUAAUAAAAUCUGAAUUGGAAGGGAAGAGGUUUAUACAAUAAACAGGAGACCUUUUUCUUAC